CCCUUAGAUGUUCUGGGCCGCACGCGCGCUACACUGACGAAUGCAACGAGCUUAUAACCUUGGCCGGAAGGUCUGGGUAAUCUCCAAAUUUCGUCGUGAUGGGGAUAGAUUAUUGCAAUUAUUAAUCUUCAACGAGGAAUGCCUAGUAAGCGCAAGUCAUCAGCUUGCGUUGAUUACGUCCCUGCCCUUUGUACACACCGCCCGUCGCUCCUACCGAUUGAAUGGUCCGGUGAAGCGUUCGGACCGUGGCCUUUGGACGGUUCGCCGUCUGUUGGCUGCGGGAAGUUCGUUAAACCUUAUCAUUUAGAGGAAGGAGAANUCGUANCA
rnacentral:rRNA from 1 species